AACGGUCUAUACCUGCGGUACCUGCGGAGGGAUCAUUAUCAAUUUACAGCGGACUUCGGUCCUGUCUGCACCCUUGUCUUUUUCGUACUAUAUGUUUCCUCGGUGGGCUUGCCUGCCGAUAGGACACUUAUAAACUCUUUUGUAAUUGCAAUCAGCGUCAGAAAACUAUAAUAGUUACAACUUUUAACAAUGGAUCUCU
rnacentral:misc_RNA from 1 species